rnacentral:rRNA from 1 species
AGGACGAACGCUGGCGGCGUGCCUAACACAUGCAAGUCGAACGAGGUCCAUGCAGUGGCAACACUGCGGAAGACCUAGUGGCGAACGGGUGAGUAACACGUGAGGAACUUGCCCCGGAGACCGGGAUAACCCUUCGAAAGGAGGGCUAAUACCGGAUGUCCUCACCGAGUCGCAUGGCUUGGUGAGGAAAUGGAUUCCGCUCCGGGAGAGCCUCGCGGCCUAUCAGCUAGUUGGUGGGUAACGGCCACCAAGGCAUCGACGGGUAGCUGGUCUGAGAGGACGAUCAGCCACACUGGGACUGAGACACGGCCAGACUCCUACGGGAGGCAGCAGUGGGGAAUCUUGCGCAAUGGGCGAAAGCCUGACGCAGCAACGCCGCGUGCGGGAUGAAGGCCUUCGGUGUAAACCGCUUUCAGUGGGACGAACCAAGACGGUACCCACAGAAGAAGCCCGACCAACUACGUGCCAGCAGCCGC